rnacentral:rRNA from 1 species
UACGAAGGGGGCUAGCGUUGCUCGGGAUUACUGGGCGUAAAGGGCGCGUAGGCGGACAGUUUAGUCAGAAGUUAAAGCCCAGGGCUCAACCUUGGAAUCGCUUUUGAUACUGGCUGUCUUGAGUACGGGAGAGGUGUGUGGAACUCCGAGUGUAGAGGUGAAAUUCGUAGAUAUUCGGAAGAACACCAGUGGCGAAGGCGACACACUGGCCCGUUACUGACGCUGAGGCGCGAAAGCGUGGGGAGCAAACAGG